UCAAGUCACGUUAGAUGUGGUGCUGACUAUUUUACGCGUGUUUUUGAAAAAACGCGGAUUUUUUUUACGACGGUUUUUGAAAUAACGCGGUUUUUUUUUACGACGGGUCUUGAAAUAACGCGGUUUUUUUUAGGACGGACCGCGUAAAAAAAACCGCGUAAAAAAAACUUCAGUGUAUGCUCCAUAUCCAUACUGAGUAAACAAGAGCUACUAGUAAAAAUUUUAUAAAUUUAUUUGGAAUAUACAAAACUUUACGAUUUGAGUGGUCCUAAGGCGACUUGAAAAUCGAUGUUUUCACUAAAAAAAUAUCAUAAUUUUAUGUUUUAAUUUUGAGCGUUCAUUCCGUUUGAUUGAAGUCAUUUAUGAGAUAGUCUUGUAAUAAAAAAUAAAUAACUUUUGAAUGCCCCAAAAAUACGUUUAAAAUUGAAGGUGACCCAUCUUGCCCCGCGGCCGUUUAUAUGGAGAUUAUAUGGAAUGUAUCGCAUAAGAAAAAUGUCUAAUAACCAUUUUAUUUUUAAUUUUCAAUGAGAAUGAAUAAUUUUUCAAUCAAUGCCCCAAACUUUUGUAUAUUCAUGCUGGUCAUCCAACAAAAUUAUUAACAUUAUCAAAACAUGAGUAAUGCGCCCGAAAAUGGCACUGACCCAUCUUGUCCCGCGACCCAUCUUGCCCCGCCCCACCCUACUUAAUAACUAUUUUUAUGGACUUGUUAGCUACAGGGGGUGGUCAAAAUGUUUGGGAUAGGCAACUUUUUUUCUCUCUUGAAAAAAGUUCAACAAGCUGUAACUUUUCAUAGAGUACAUUGAAAAAUCUCAAAUUUUGACUGUUUUUCAACCUAUUGUAUGUGCAUCAUUGGUACAAAUUUGAGCUUGAUUGGUUAAUCUUUCGCGAAGCUAGAAUAAUAAUGAUAAAACACUAUUAGACUACCAAUUUUUGAGCUGUCAUAUCUCGGAAACCAGUGAACCGAUAUGAAUGAAAUUUCAAACGUUUAUCAACAAUGUAUUAAUGCUUUACAAGUUAUUCAAAUAUAUUAGGUACUUUUUCUGCCGUGUUCAGCAUAGUUGUCCCAUGUUACUUUUUGACGAAUUUGACUUUUUAUCAUCAAAUGGUGUAUUUUUGCGUAUACUUUUAGAAUCUACUCUCGGCUAGCAUACUUUGUUCAGACACUCCAUGAAAACAACAUCAAGUCAAUAUGUCUUAUGUUCAGCUUUGUCAUCAUAAGUUGUCCCAUGUUCCAAUUUGCAGCAUCUCCGUCAAUAAUUAUUUUCGGGCCUAAAAAAUUGUAAUUGUAAUUGUAAUUGCUCAGUCCACACCCAGGCCGACAACUGUCAGCCCAUCUGCUUGUGGGCAGAUGUGGACCUACUAAGCCUCCCCCGUUAACAUGUCCUACACCGAAUUAGCACACCGGGAUCUUCCACAGGCAGGCGCUGGCGUUACCAGUCCCAACAAGUGUCAGAUACAUUAAAUAGAUGGGGUAGAGGAUAUAAGAAGAUGUGGGAAGAGGAUGGGGAGAGGCAGAAAAUGAAGAGAUAGUAGAGAGGUUUCGAUUUUGUUGCUGAAACGAGAAAAAGAAAGAAUGAUAAAGAACAUUAGCGAUAUGUUCAUAGAUUUUGAUUUGGUCGAUAAUUUCUCAUCUAUUUUGUUUCCAUAUCGUUGCAUCGGUGACCAUUUUCAUCGCAUUUCUAGUUUUUGUUAGGGCCAGCUCGCGUUUUUUCGUCAUGUCCUCUUUGCCGGUUGGCGACGUUCGGGAUCCCAUUUGUCCGCAGUACAUAUCAGGCAUCCCGUUUUAACAAGUCCUACACAGAAUUAGAAACCCGGAUCUUCCACAGACAGUCCUAACUAGUGUCAGAUAAGUUCAAUUGAGGAUAGGAAGCGGAAAAAUGAGAAGACAGUAGAGAAGGUUUGGUUCAUUGGUAGCUGUGUUCAUGUGAUGUUUGUCUGACAUUUAAAAACUAUUUUCCGUAAGUGUUUAACUCUCCACCCCCAAUUUAAUACCGGAAAAAUAUCUGAUCAGAUGUAUAGUUUGGCAAUUCUUUGUCCACAUUGAAAUGCUUUUGUUAAUACAUCUUUUAUCAAGAAGGAAUAAAGUUGUUUACUGUUAUAAAAUAAUUCAGUUAAAGGACAGCUAAUGUAUUGUAAUCCAGAAUAAACCUACAGAAAAUGUCUCAAUAAAAAGUUAACUCUAGUUCAACUAACUACACAAACUAAAAAG